UCCAGGACAUAAUCCAAGUUCAUGAUGCAUUGAAGAAAGAAGUGUAAACCACGGACACCUAUCACACUGAGACAACAUGUGGCUCUUUUUCCAGUGUGAUCUCACGGAGAAUUCCCAGGUCAUACAAGGUUUCUGAGCUUGAGUUUCCCAUCUCUCAAAAGGGGAUUCCGGAUUCAUAGUAUUAGGAUGAGGCUCAAAGUACUUUCUCUGUAUGAAAAAGUUUUUUACCUGGAAGAAGAUUGAUACAGAGUACUACGAUGUGGUCCUCAGGGCAAAUCCCUCAUGCGCCCCCCUUCUGGGUCCCUGGUGGUUGAAAACACCUUAUAAGGACCCUCCUCUUUCUUGCUCACUGAAUCUUCUAGAGUCCCCAGAAAACAGAAUUUCUCUCUCUACCUUCGUCUCUGCCCAAAGGAAACUGCGGCAUUUUCAUGAUCUUUUGCCUUAUAGCUGACAUCUCCCUUCUUAUACUAAUGCAAAGAGGCUGCUCACAGAAAUUCUAAAGGUCAGAAUUCCUAAUCACACACUCCCACUGCCUUGCAAUCUUAUCAACUUAUGGCUUAUGAAUGGCAUUCCCACAGGAAAGACUGUUCAUAAAAGCUGGCUCAAGCCCCAGGGCCACCUCCCUUUCUUACCUUCCUCUUGCUUCCUGUAAGGCCUUGGGUGUUUGAUCCCCAGGUUAUGGGAUUGGGGAGCACAACCUGGAGGACCCAGAACUGGAGCAAGUUCCUGUCUUUUUUUUUUUUUUUUAAGAUUUUAUUUAUUUAUUCACGAGAGAUACAGAGAGAGAGAGAGAGAGAGGCAGAGACACAGGCAGAAGGAGAAGCCGGCUCCUCAAGGAGCCUGAUGUGGGGACUCAAUCUCGGGACUCUGGGAUCACGCCUUGAGCCCAAGGCAGAUGCUCAACCACUGAGCCACCCAGGCAUCCCAGCUGGUUCCUGUCUUGGUCACACAGGGCUCAAGACCCAGAGGUGAGUCAAGCCAGAUUCCCUGCAGGCAAGCCUAGGUCCAAAUACCGGGUUGCCUGCAUUGUAACCCUAUUGCCUUACCGGAUGCUAUUCUAUGGCCAAUUUUAUUCUUGCAACAUUGUGAGGUAAGAAUAAUUUGCCAGCCCUCCAGAUUAGAGAAUGGAGGGACAGAGAGGUUCAGCGACCUAUCUGAAGUCACACAGCUGCUAAGUGGCAGAGCUGGAAUCCAAAUGGGAAUCCGCCUGAUGCUCAACCUCAGUUUCUUUCCCCCCCGUAACAGACUACCUCCAGAACGUCAGAUGAGAUAAGUUUGUGGGCUGACUCCUAGAGCUAUUUUGCCUUGGUAGUAAAGGCAUUUUUCAAAUGAGGGUAGAGUAUUAAUGAAUAAUUUUCCUAGGAGGUUUGAAUGCUGGGAAUGCUGGAAUGCUGGCGAGAGCAUUAAAUGAGUACCAGCAGCUGCAUCAGCUGGGCAGUUUUCCUCCUGAGUCUUCUGGUCUCAAGGACCCAGAGGUUAUUUCUGAUUACAUCAGCAGCCGUGCAGAUCCAGUUCAGGAAUCUUGAAACCACAUAUGUGACUCACAUGUCGUUGUUAUAACAGUAGGAAACACAUUAACUCGGCUUUAAAGAGCGUUCAUUGAAAAGUUGGCCUCUCAGAAACCAGUUUCUUGGUUUGUGAAGCACACCAUCUAAGCCUUCCUCCUGACGACAGUGUCAUAGCGUGAGCCUGUAUGUUAUGUGACCUGACAGCUUAACAAGACUAUAUUUGCUUUUGCAGACUCUGUGUUCCAGCACAUUCCACUGAACUUAUAGCAGGUGACUAAUGGGUAUUUCACCACCAUGACAUUUUGAGUUGCAAGCCAUAGGGAUGGUCAUUUGAUUGAAUAAUACAUUAAAAAUGUUUUUUAAGACUUGUAUUACAAAAUCAUUCUGUGGAAAUCAUAAGCAAAAGUUCUUGCAGUCUGCUUGGGGACGGACAAUGCUGCUGGUCUAUUACAGACAUUUCUGAAUGAAGGAAGGUGUCGCUUCUCUUUUCCAGGGAGCUUUGUGUGGGUGAUUUUGCAUAUGCACAGGCGCUGCCUUCCAAGAAAUGCCAGCAUCUGCACAACUGGGAGGCAUGCUCUGGUUUGCUCAUAAAAGUCUUUAUCGUCUUUGAGAAAGUGAUUCAACUGGUCUUGAUGGGCAGCCGGAUAGAAAAAUCUAGUGAAAGAGGGGACAUGACCAAGCUCAUAUGGACACAGAGGCUCAACAAACAUGGCUUUGCAACAGCCUCUAUAAAGUGGCUUCAAAAGAUUUAUUUGAACAGUGUCCAUCACACUGUGGAUGCAUGCCAAACAGCCCGUGUGGACCUAAACUGCAUUAUAUCUACUCAGUAGGGUGUGUGAUGAAGCAGAACUUUCUCAGGCCCACCCUACCCUGAGAACUCCAUUAAAAGUUUGUUGACCAUUUCCUACUAUAGAGAUACCACAUUAAAGCUACAUAAAGCCUAGGGGCCAAACUCACUUGGGGCGGGGGGACAUGGAUGAAUGAGUGGACAUGUUGAUACUCUCUCUGUCCGGAUCCCCUCAGAUUCCUUUUACAUUUCUAGGUACUCCUUCUCUGCUUCUGAUGCCCUUGUUUCUAACAGACAGCUCUCCUGGGAUACUGUGGCCAUUUUGCCCAAUAGCUCAAAGAGCUGGCUAUACCCAGGAGUUACACCACAUGCUGGGUGGUCCUUUGCCAAUGAUGAACUGUAGUGAAGAAUCCGAAUACUCAACUCCCCUGCCUUAAAUCUGGAUGUGCUCAGGUGUCAUUUCUACUUCAGAGCCUCCUGUAGGAUCAGGUGGGAGCUGGACUUACCCUGGAAUUGUACCCUUGUACAAUUGUGCGCCUUCCUCCCUUUUCCUCAUUUGUUUUUCUAUAGGCUCUUCUGGGGACAUUUCCCUAAUAAAUCACUUGCAUUUGAA